AUCGCUGCAGACAGUCCAAGUAUUCCUGCUUCACCAGGUCGAUCCAGUCUGAGAGUCACAGUCCGGGCUCCUCCACAAAUCAUGGAGUCAACCAGGAUGAAACUCAUGUGUAC